rnacentral:rRNA from 1 species
AACGAACGCUGGCGGCAUGCCUAACACAUGCAAGUCGAACGAAGCCUUCGGGCUUAGUGGCGCACGGGUGCGUAACGCGUGGGAAUCUGCCCUUGGGUUCGGAAUAACAGUUAGAAAUGACUGCUAAUACCGGAUGAUGUCUUCGGACCAAAGAUUUAUCGACCAAGGAUGAGCCCGCGUAGGAUUAGGUAGUUGGUGGGGUAAUGGCCCACCAAGCCGACGAUCCUUAGCUGGUCCGAGAGGAUGAUCAGCCACACUGGAACUGAGACACGGCGCAGACUCCUACGGGAGGCAGCAGUGGGGAAUAUUGGACAAUGGGCGAAAGCCUGAUCCAGCAAUGCCACGUGAGUGAUGAAGGCCUUAGGGUUGUAAAGCUCUUUUACCAGGGAUGAUAAUGACAGUACCUGGAGAAUAAGCUCCGGCUAACUCCGUGCCAGCAGCCGCCGUAAUAC